GCCGGUCGUGGUGACGCAUGCCUGUAGUCCCAGCUACUCGGGAGGCUGAGUUGGGAGGAUCGCUUGAGCCCAGGAGUUCUGGGCUGCAGUGAGCUAUGCUGAUUGGGUGUCCACACUACGUUCGGCAUCAAUAUGGUGACCUCCCGGGAGCAGGGGACCACCAGGUUGCCUCAAGAGGGGUGAACCGGCCCAGGUGGGAAACGGAGCAGGUCAAAACUCCCGUGCUGAUCAGUAGUGGGAUCGCGCCUGUGAAUAGCCACUGCACUCCAGCCUGGGCAACAUAGCAAGACGCCAUCUCU
rnacentral:SRP_RNA from 1 species